rnacentral:rRNA from 1 species
UACGGGGGGGACCAGUGUUAGUCGUCUUGAUUGGGCGUAAAGGGUGCGUAGACGGUUUUUUAGAACUUUUGAUAAAUCCCACUACGAAUGUGGUAGUCUUUAGUAAUCGUUAAACUAGAGUGGUGGGGAGGGGCGUGGUACUUCUAGUUUAGAUGUAACAGUCUGCGAGAUUAGAAGGACCCUCAGCGGCGAAGGCGACUUUCCCACUCAUCACUGACGUUCAGGCACGGAGGCAUGGGGAGCAAACGGG